AGGAAUCUAAAAAGCUCAUCACUAUGGAACUCCAUCUAAGCACUUUGAGGGAAUAUUAUAAAAAUCGACGUAUCCCGAGGGGUCUAAGAUCCCACCUAUGGCCGAAUUUGUUUCCAAAUGAUACAGUCUUUUGUGCCAAGUUUGAGGCGGCCAGCAAGGCGGCGGAGAUGCCGCAGGGGCGGAAGGAAGCACCAUCGACCCCACAAAAGGCCUGUUACCCCUGAAUUCGGGAAAGAACAGGGGUAUGCCAAUGAGAACGACGAGACGCAACCCCAGGAGAUGACACACUUGGUAGUGAACAUUUCUUCGGUAGAACUGACCCCCUAACAAACUCAGCUCCACGUCAACCAGAAGUUCCAUCCUAUGAGGAGUCCUCUGCGGAUCAAAAGGAACCAAGUUGACACCUGAGGAUGAGGAAGAACAACAGCAACGAAGAUCCGACCAGACCACAAAAAGGAAACUACCUGCCUGGUACCUGUAUUGAACUGUGACUGCCUUUACAGACACUUUGGAGUUAUAGAGGCAGGGUAAGAGACUUGAUGCUAGUUUAAUUGUUUGCAUGCAUGCUCUAUCUGUCUUCCAGGUGACCCAUCUUCAUGGCAAGAGUGUGCCAGA